UGAGAGUCUCUCGCUUCCCUGACUGUGCGUACUGCUUGCGCGUGGGGUACCUGCCGUGCAGCUUCUCUCUCACUUUGGCCAACAUACACACGCACUCUUCUCACGCUCUCACAGUCCGCCUCAGUCUCGCUUCCCGUCUCUGUAUAGGGGGCUGGGUGCGGCGGCGGCGCGCACACACACAGAGCUGUGCCGCCCCAAAGAGUCUACCUUGUGUGCCGCGGAGGCCGUCUCUCUCUCUCUCUCUCUCCUGACCCUUUUGUCCGCUUCCUUUCUUAGCGUUCGUCUCUCGUGCUGCUCAGCACUCUACAACGCCUCGCCCCCCCCCCCCCCCCAACUUCUCUCACCCUCAUCGAACGUGCAUAUUGGCAGACGGACGCGAGCACGCCAAACUCUCUUUUCGACCGCAAUCCUUUGCGUGGCGGUGACCACCAUGUCGACUCUGGGGGACAGCAGCAGCGGUGGAAGCAGCGGCCGACACAGUGGUGCGGCCGACUACCCGCGUGUGGCACAUGUACCAGAAGUGCAUCGCUUUUCAGACCCGCAGAACGCAACCGCGUCCACGAUUACCACUGCUACAUCCUCUUCCUCAGCGCCGUCCCGCGCCGACGGCGCGGUGUCGCGAGGCGCAACGAUGCCGCUGUACAUGAUUCAGUCUCAGCAGCAGCAACAGCAGCCGCAGGUAGCGUUUCCCGGCGGAAUGGCCAUGCCCAUCAUGAACAAGGCACCGCCGCCGAUACGGCAGGCGUCGUCUUCUUCCUCGCCGCCGACACCCUCCCCGCUCUCGACAUCGGGUAGUGAGCAUGAUGGAGAAGCCGCUGCAGCUGCACGUUCGAAAAGGCCGCUGCCGGCCGUCGCCGCUCCUGACGCAUCCGGCGCUGCACUUCAAUCGAAGCGCCGAUCCGCUGGAGCUGCCAGUGGCAGUGCUGCGCGACUCGCAGCCGCGGGCCCCAUUCCCUCAGUCAGCAUUCACGCCGCCGCCGCCGCCACCACCGCCGAGUCGCACUCUACUGGCGUCGCCGGCUCUGUGUUCGUACCAGGCGCGGGACCGCCGCCUACCGCUGCAGCCGCCAACACGUCCGCCUCUCCGGCGCCGUCGCCGCCGCCACUACCUCCGCCGCAGGUGCUGACGAUGGCGACGACCGAGGAGGCGGCGAAGGAGGCGCAGCGGCAGCAGAUCCUCGGGCUGGCCAACGCCCUCCUCACCUUCUGCUGCAUCGGCAACACACGCGUCACAAGCAUUCGCCAGUGCACCUCCAGCUUCUUCGUGUUGCUGUACCAGCGUCUGUUCGACUGCACGAUAGCUGGUAUUGAUAGAUCACCGAACACGGCGGAAAAGCGGCGGCACAACGUGAUGCUGGUGCUGGAGCAGCUGCGCCAGCACCCCUACUCGCUCGAAGACAUCGAGGCCGAAGAGGUGGUGAAGCUGAACGAGGACCACAUCAGCCGACUGAUCAUGGUUUUUGUGCAGGUGGCAGAGGACAUGCGCCAGCAGCAAGAGCUUCAGCAACAGCAGCAGCAACAGGCGGCGAUGGUGGCCUCAUCGUCCGCGAUGAUGGCCCGGCAAAACGCAACUGGCGAACAGUACCCCCUCCCACACCCAGCUCACGCAGAGGGCUUUGAUGCUGCCAAGACCACCAGUGGAGCCUACGCGCCGGUAGGCUACCGAGUCGCGGAGGUCAUGCCACCCCCCGCACUGCAGCAGGCAGACGCAGCUGGCACGGGCAGCGGUGGGUAUCACUUCCAACAGCCGAUGGACAACUUUUGCGUGGCCCCCGCACCGCCGCUGAGCGGGGGCCCGGCAAGCGGCGGCGGUAUCAUGGACCCUGAUGGCGGCGGCGGUGGCCCGUACAUGAUUUCCGGCGGAGCCGAGCUCGGCGAGGGGUUGUCGCCAUCUUCUGUCAGUCACUACCUCGAGUCCUCCGUCAUGCCGACAGACAACUUGCUAGAGGAGUGGUACCGCAACCUCGUGUACCCGCCAGCGGGUGGGCCAGCGGAGGAGACGGAGAUGAUGUCGGCUGUAGACCCUGGGCAUGUGUCCCUCCACGGCGGCUACUCACAGCGCCGUCAUCCUCGAUCGGAUCAGCUUGGACGCGAGGCAGGGGCGUCGCUCACGUCGUCUGGCUCUCCGAUGUACGGAGCCGGGCAUCAGCUCGCCAGUGCGUCGCCGCCAGAGAGACGCUCGCCCAUUGGCCGUCAUCGCCAUCACCGCACGCAACUCGACGCUGAUGACAUUGUGCGCCGGUUCCAGCGCCUCGAGGAGGUGCUGGAUGCGCAGGAGCGGCGGCACCGCAAGCCUUUCGUGGACGCCUCCUCGUCCCCGGCCAUGCAAAAAGGCAGCCUCGCGGAGAGGGGGGCACGGGAGAGCCGCCAUCGCCGCCACACAGCACCUCAACCACCAUCGGCGGUCGCCGAUCCACGCGGAGGCGACCUCGCCCCCACACCGGACAAGCGCAGCGCCACGGAGGUCGGCGGCGGUGCACUCCCACAGCAGGAAGCGCCGCCGUCGUCCCAGCAGCAGCCCGCGUAUUCCCAACCGCCGCCGCAACAGCAUCGCGCGCCACCGCGUACACCGGCGCACCGGUUUGUUUCGGAGCCGCCGCUGACGCGACAGGAGCGGUAUUUUUUCGCUCACCGUCCCCAGCACCGCAUUGACGUCGCGCAGCGAGACAGCAAGAUUGAACGGCUACGAUCGGCUCGCUACUUGGGCGAUAUGCAGCAGCUGCUGCGCCAGCGCAUGCGUCGAGAGUAUGAUGCGCAGAUGUCGGCGAUGCGUGGCUCCUUGAAGGAGUCCAUCCGCACUGCGAAGGAGGCGAAGAUCGACCUCAUGCGCCGCGUGCGAGACGAGAACGCGCGCUACCGUGCUGCCUACGCGACUCUCAUGGAGGCGGCGGCGAACGAGGCGCAGGUGCCGGCGAGGGUCAUGUCGCGGCACACGGUGCAGCUGGCAGACUACUACGCAACCGCGCUGCAGCACAGCCUCCUCGUGUGCGACUCACUCAAGCGAGAGGCGGACCGUCGCAACAAGAACGAGCUGCUCCGCUACGCGGAAGAGGUGAGUGCGUGGCAACAGCAUCUCCUACUCUAGUCAGACGGAAUGCUGACGCGCGAGUUGGUGCUGCCCGUGGCAUCGGAGGUGGUGCCCACCUUCGCCCCUCUUUUUUUCUCUACCUAAUCUUGCUCCUCUCUGUGUAAGGUCGGCUGCUCAUGCUGCUGCUUGCACACGUAUGCCGCGCGUUCUCUCUUUUCUAUUCUUCUCAAUCCAUGUCUUGUACCCUUCACCCCCCACCCCCUCCCUUCCCCACAGCAUCACCACAAUGACCAGCCUUGUUACGCCUUUCUUCAUUGCCACACAACCGUAACCACACUGUGGCUGGCGCGGCAGCAGUGUCAUUGUUGUGCGUCGCGUGUGUGCCUGCGCGCGCCUCCACGCCUCGUCUUUUCGUGUGACUACGUCGCUCCUCCACUGUAUCUCGCAUCCCACUCGUCCUUUCCUUCCUUGCUUUCGUUCGUUGAUCGCCCAUCAUAGAGAUUUGUUCCCUCUCCUGUGCGUGCCUGUGCGCGUUGCACACCGUGUUGCAUCUUUCUCUCUCUCCUUCUCCGGCAUCCUCGGGGUUCUCGGCGACUGGGGAGGAACG
rnacentral:misc_RNA from 1 species